UUACGGGUUGGCCUACCAGGCGACGACGGGUAGCCGGCCUGAGAGGGUGACCGGCCACACUGGGACUGAGACACGGCCCAGACUCCUACGGGAGGCAGCAGUGGGGAAUAUUGCACAAUGGGCGAAAGCCUGAUGCAGCGACGCCGCGUGAGGGAUGACGGCCUUCGGGUUGUAAACCUCUUUCAGCAGGGACGAAGCGCAAGUGACGGUACCUGCAGAAGAAGCACCGGCUAACUACGUGCCAGCAGCCGCGGCCGA
rnacentral:rRNA from 1 species